CAAAAAUAAACUGUAUUACUAUGUGACUGAGUAUGGCUUUCAGUUAAGUAUACAUCAUUUCAGCCACAGGAGUCUAUGCAACUAUGUACAGUUUUUCUCUUAAUUACAAAACUAAACUGUACAUGAAACAGAACAUUACAAAUAUGGCACAAACGAGCCAUUUAAAUUUCUGAUAACGCUUAGGACUGUGACUGUUUUUGCUAUUUGGUUAUGAAUACAUCAUUUCUGCCAUGGCAGACAUUUUCUUUGGUAUAUGCAGAUGGUGUUCCAGGUACCCUGCCAGGUCUUCCACAGUCACGUCACUGCCAUAAGCGUGAGCCUCCACAGAACGGGAUGCGGGAGGGCUGCACAGGGCUGUUUCACAGAUGGAUCUGUGAAGCGUGGAUAAGGAAAGGAAAAGUGAGGUUUGGCUGUUGUGUGAGUCAGAGUGAGACGAUGAGGGCAGAGCGAGGCAGUUCUCCCGUGACUUCCCCACAGGCCCCGCAGCGGUGGUUCAGCAGAGGUUCAGCUGUGGCUCUUCUGCCAUGGCUGGCCUCAAAGUGAGGACUGUGUCUGUCCUCUGUGCCGUGUUCUGCUGUAGCACAAACACUGGAACGGACGUGAGUCUUUGGUGUGUGUGACCGGGUUUUGUGUUUUGUGCCGCAGUGCGUAAACGUGGGAGGAUACAGGACAGGAGACCUGGAACGUCCGUGCCGUGAGAGACCGGCCGGUCCUCCUGCAGUCCUCUCACACCUGCAGGGUCAGAACAGGUGAACAGACUGAGACGGCUGUUGGUGUGCAGUCCCUGACAGGAGCAGCGGAAGAGCCUUAAGGAAGCGGGGCUCUCCCAGAAGAGAGAGGCACGCAAACACUGCUGCUGUAAAGGUACUUCCCCGCAGUUCUUCCGUGUUUAAGGGACUGGGCUUUACUGGAG
rnacentral:lncRNA from 1 species